rnacentral:rRNA from 1 species
AGAUUGAACGCUGGCGGCAGGCCUAACACAUGCAAGUCGAGCGGCAGCACGGGUACUUGUACCUGGUGGCGAGCGGCGGACGGGUGAGUAAUGCCUAGGAAUCUGCCUGAUAGUGGGGGAUAACGUUCGGAAACGGACGCUGAUACCGCAUACGUCCUACGGGAGAAAGUGGGGGAUCUUCGGACCUCACGCUAUCAGAUGAGCCUAGGUCGGAUUAGCUAGUUGGUAGGUAAGGGCCUACCAAGGCUACGAUCCGUAACUGGUCUGAGAGGAUGAUCAGUCACACUGGAACUGAGACACGGUCCAGACUCCUACGGGAGGCAGCAGUGGGAAUAUUGGACAAUGGGCGAAAGCCUGAUCCAGCCAUGCCGCGUGUGUGAAGAAGGUCUUCGGAUUGUAAAGCAACUUUAAAGUUGGAGGAAGGCAGUUAACCUAAUACGUUAGUGUUUUGACGUUACCGACAGAAUAAAGCAACCGGCUAACUCUGUGCCACAGCCG